ensembl:snoRNA small nucleolar RNA SNORD23
UGCCCGGUGAUGACACCAUCCUUGCUCCCCGUGCCCCCCAGGGGCUGUGGGCGACACUCUGGCUGCCCCCAGGCUGGGCCAGUGGGGCUGAGGCCUGGGGGCUGAGGGCA